rnacentral:rRNA from 1 species
UACGGAGGGCGCAAGCGUUGUUCGGAAUCAUUGGGCGUAAAGCGCGUGUAGGCGGUCUGGUCAGUCGGAUGUGAAAUACCGGAGCUCAACUCCGGAACUGCAUUCGAUACUGCCGGGCUAGAGUCCCGGAGAGGGUGGUGGAAUUCCCGGUGUAGAGGUGAAAUUCGUAGAUAUCGGGAGGAACACCAGCGGCGAAGGCGGCCACCUGGACGGUGACUGACGCUGAGACGCGAAAGCGUGGGGAGCAAACACG